UCCCGGUCCCAAAUAGAUUUCAAGAGUUUUGUAAAGUGGCCAGGUGCGUCGCGAUGGUCCAUUGCCAGGUGUGUCCCGAGAGAAAUUGAGCUGCGCCUGAGCCCGAACGCAACCGCAUCUUCGGCCCCGAGAUAACGCUGCCCAAGCGAUGCAACCCGUUUCCGGAGCAAGUCGCCCAGAAUAAGAUCAACAACCGUGUUUGUGUACUGAAGAAAUAAGAACAAGACAGCAACCACUACAACAUCCGGCACACAAUGCUUCCGGUCCCGAGACUCAAACCCUCAAAAAAGGCUUAUUCCUCGUCGUUUCCACCAACACGCGAUUCCAGGGUAACCCGGUUAUAACGAGGAGCCACUUCGUGUGCAAGUUUUAGUGUUAUGAAAAUAUGAAAUAAACUGUUUUUUCUUUUU